rnacentral:lncRNA from 1 species
CAUUUUUGUUUUCCAACAGAUAAUGAUGGUUGCAGGGCCCCUCUUCAAUGGAGGCAUUGCCAGCCUUCUGGCCAUGAAGGAGAAAGUGAUUUCAACUAACCCAGGAAACUCUUACCUCUAAAUGGAGAUACUUCCUGAUAACAGAAGAAACUGGGCAUCUAACCCAGAAAUACCAGCUGAGUAGGAGAAGAGAAAAGGCAUCAGCCAGUCAAGGUUUCAGAAGGCUGCCAACAAGAUACAUUCCUUCAGUGUUAAUGGAUAAUUUUGCAUAGAGGUGUGUAUGCCUACUAUGUAUUCUAUGCCUAUUUGUUAUUGCUGCUAAGAAGAAAAAAAUCCAUGUAAGUUAGUGUACUCAUGAAAUACAGAGGAAACAAAAGAAAAGGUGUGAAAAGCUAAUGAAGAGCAAGUGGUCAGUUCUGGUGCGGUUUGAUGGAGUGGAGAAAGCCACCCACCAGAUCCCUUCCAGACUGGCAGUCUUGAAGUACAGACAGACACAAGCUGCUAUGGUAAUUCAAAAGAAGAACUGACUAAAUACAGCGUGGUCAAGAAAGACAAAUAGAUGAGGUGGGGACUUCAGCUGGGUCUCUCACAGGAUGUCCAGGACAUGGUAUUGGUGAGGGGAGGUGGGAAGAGUGUCCCAAAUAUGGAAGAGGGAAGGAACUGUGGAGGAGCGGUCAAAAUGGAUGCUGAUGUUUGCAAAUAACAAAAGGGAUGAAUAAAUGACAGGCUUCUACAAGUAAACAGUCUAUGUAACUGUUACUAAUUCAAGGUGCUGGAUCUGAUCCCCCACCUAGUAUGUCCCCUGAACGAAUGACUUCAAGGCCACGUAGUUGUCCCUGAGUUUUCCACAUGCCAACCUCCUCCUCCCUAGGCCUGAGAUGUGUUGCAAGUGCUGCUCCUUCUGCCCAGACCCCCUGCUUCCCUAUUCUCAGCAAACCCUUCUUCCUUGACAUAACAAAUUAGCAUGACCUGCAAAUCCUUCAAUGUGACCACAGAUAGAGAGGCCUCCACCCCAAAUUCCUAAAAUAAGUACUCUUCCCAACUUCCGCCCGAGUUUCUAUAGUGGUACCUUACCUGUUUCUUUCACAGCACAUAUUAGCCACCUGUUUAAUUAGCAUGAUUUGAGUGUUGUACCCAUGAAGUCGGACAGAAUCAGAACUGGGAACACAGAGUUUAAUCUGAUGUCAUUUAUCAGAUUUGUAGCCCUGCCACUCAAGAAGAGACAAGGCUUAAAUAGUUGA